UAACUUUCAACAACGGAUCUCUUGGUUCUGGCAUCGAUGAAGAACGCAGCGAAAUGCGAUAAGUAAUGUGAAUUGCAGAAUUCAGUGAAUCAUCGAAUCUUUGAACGCACAUUGCGCCCCUCGGUAUUCCGGGGGGCAUGCCUGUUCGAGCGUCAUUA
rnacentral:rRNA from 1 species